CCUACGGGAGGCAGCAGUGGGGAAUCUUGGGCAAUGGGCGCAAGCCUGACCCAGCGACGCCGCGUGGGUGACGAAGGCCUUCGGGUCGUAAAGCCCUGUCAGGCGGAACGAAGGCCCCUGGGGUGCUGAGCCCCGGGGGGUGACGGUACCGCCAAAGGAAGCACCGGCCAACUCCGUGCCAGCAGCCGCGGUAAGACGGAGGGUGCGAGCGUUGCUCGGAAUCACUGGGCGUAAAGGGUGCGUAGGCGGCCCCGUAAGUCUGGCGUGAAAGCCCCGGGCUCAGCCCGGGAAGGGCGCCAGGGACUGGGGGGCUCGAGGGCCGGAGGGGAGAGUGGAAUUCCCGGUGUAGCGGUGAAAUGCGUAGAGAUCGGGAGGAAUACCGGUGGCGCAAGCGACUCUCUGGACGGCGCCUGACGCUGAGGCACGAAAGCGUGGGGAGC
rnacentral:rRNA from 1 species